rnacentral:rRNA from 1 species
AUUGAACGCUGGCGGCAUGCUUUACACAUGCAAGUCGAACGGUAACAGGCCUUCGGGUGCUGACGAGUGGCGAACGGGUGAGUAAUGCAUCGGAACGUACCCAGAGGUGGGGGAUAACGCAGCGAAAGCUGUGCUAAUACCGCAUGUGAUCUGAGGAUGAAAGCGGGGGACCGAGCAGCAAUGUUUGGCCUCGCGCCUUUGGAGCGGCCGAUGUCGGAUUAGCUAGUUGGUGGGGUAAAAGCCUACCAAGGCGACGAUCCGUAGCUGGUCUGAGAGGACGACCAGCCACACUGGGACUGAGACACGGCCCAGACUCCUACGGGAGGCAGCAGUGGGGAAUUUUGGACAAUGGGCGCAAGCCUGAUCCAGCAAUGCCGCGUGCGGGAAGAAGGCCUUCGGGUUGUAAACCGCUUUUGGCAGGAACGAAACGGUGUCCGCUAAUACCGGGCGCUAAUGACGGUACCUGCAGAAUAAGCACCGGCUAACUACGUG